CUACGGGAGGCUCCAGUGAGGAAUAUUGCACAAUGGGGGGAACCCUGAUGCAGCAACGCCGCGUGGAGGAUGACGCAUUUCGGUGUGUAAACUCCUUUUAUAUGUCAAGAAAAUGACGGUAGCAUAUGAAUAAGCACCGGCUAACUCCGUGCCAGCAGCCGCGGUAAUACGGAGGGGUGCAAGCGUUACUCGGAAUCACUGGGCGUAAAGGACGCGUAGGCGGGUUGGAAAGUCAGGUGUGAAAUCCUACAGCUUAACUGUAGAACUGCACUUGAAACUUCUAAUCUAGAGUAUGGGAGGGGGAGAUGGAAUUAGUGGUGUAGGGGUAAAAUCCGUAGAUAUCACUAGGAAUACCUAAAGCGAAGGCGAUCUCCUGGAACAUUACUGACGCUAAGGCGUGAAAGCGUGGGGAGCAAACAGGAUUAGAUACCCGAGUAGUC
rnacentral:rRNA from 1 species